GCAGGUAUCGCCCACUACCCGUACAUUACAGCUUACAAACCCAAAACAAAAACGUAACAAUUAGCCGAGACAAUUUUCUAACCCCCCCAAAAAAUAGCGUUAUGAACUCUCCCUGCUUCAUUAUGGCGCAGACUGGCAGGGAUUAUUUCUUUCCGAAGGGAAUGAUGUUCGAGGCCAGUGAAGGAAUGGAGGCCCGGCCAGGCUGGGCCCUGAGAAAGCUCAACAGCAUCACCAUGUGGGCGCCCGAGGUGAUGAAGGUUUGACGACGGCGAGGCUUCCAAUUGACUCAACACGUGAACGACGACAGGAUGGUUCCCAGACUGCUGCUGCUGCCGCUGCACGGCCGCGAUGAUGUCAAUCAUCCCUCUGCCCUCCGACGGUAUUCCGAUCUCAGGCCAUCCGUGGAAGUGGAAAUGACGGACGUGUUGCGAGCGCUUCUCCUAAGCACGAGAGACAGAAGCUGUUGUUUUUUUGACGUUUCACGGAAUCAUUCGGAGCCCGUUCCCCUCUUGCUCUAUUGGACGAUGACGUGACCAUGCAGCUUUAGAAAUGGAGACUAAUCAGAAACAAAACAGCUUGUGCAGAUA